rnacentral:rRNA from 1 species
GUCCACGCCCUAAACGAUGUUCACUCGAUCUCGGCGAUACACAGUCGGGGUCUAUGCAAAGCAUUAAGUGAACCACCUGGGGAGUACGAUCGCAAGAUUGAAACUCAAAGGAAUUGACGGGGUCCGCACAAGCGGUGGAGCAUGUGGUUCAAUUCGAUGGUACGCGAGGAACCUUACCUGGGCUAGAAUGCAAGUGGAAUACCGCUGAAAGGCGGUAGGCUCGCAAGAGACCGCUUGUAAGGUGCUGCAUGGCUGUCGU